UACGGAGGAUGCGAGCGUUAUCCGGAUUUAUUGGGUUUAAAGGGUGCGCAGGCGGGCUGUUAAGCCGGCGGUAAAAAUUCAGGGCUCAACCCUGUCGAGCCGUCGGAACUGGCAGUCUUGAGUGGGCGAGAAGUAUGCGGAAUGCGUGGUGUAGCGGUGAAAUGCAUAGAUAUAACUUAGAACUCCGAUAGCGAAGGCAGCUUACCAGACUGCGACUGACGCUGAAGCACGAGAGCGUGGGUAGCGAACAGG
rnacentral:rRNA from 1 species